GAGAAAUCAAACUGUGAAGUGAAUGAAAGCUGAUAGUGACAAUGAGUGAGUAAAUGUCUUUGUUCAUCUCAGCCUGGACUGUUGGGAAAGGGAGUUAGUGGAGUCUGGAAGUCUUAAGGAGGCCUCAGCUGCUGAUGCCUGUUAACCCCUCAGAGUGCACACAUUUUAGUCCCCCAGCUGUCAUCAGGGCUCACCCCUGCCAUCUAGAAGCACCUUCUAUAAAACCUGCCCACCAGAAACAACAACCCCCUCUCCAGAUCUGAAUGAUUUUAGCAGCUAAUUCACUUUUAGCCUGCUUGGUUAUUUGGUAUGGUUGUUGGGAUGGGGAGGAGUCAAUAAGUUUGAUGGAAGACACAAGAUCUCAAGAUAACUUCUCUACAACCCAAGAUAGAGCUUUCCAAACAUCUGUGAAGCUUCAAUAUAAAACCCCUUCAUCAUAAACAUGCUACUCCUACUCAGAUAUGAAAACAUUCCUGUCUGAAGCUUCACAAGCUAUGCUAAUGAGGUAAGCGAGCUUACGCCCAUCAUACAGUUAAAAGCCUGCAGGGUGUCAUGUCAAAGUGAUGCACAUCUCCUGAUUUAGUAUCUUUUCAAGAGCGCAACAGGGAAGACGUGCCAACCAUGAGGGAGGAGACAGGCACUCCAAGGAGAGGUGAAAAGGUCGUACGGUGAAACACUUCUCCAUGUGUGGCUGAGGAAAUUACCAUGGUUUUCUUCGAUAUCAUAUGUUUUCUAGCUGAUAAAUAACAUGCUGCCCUUUUUUGUUUGUAAAAUUUUGGUGGGGUCAUUUUUUAAUCCUAUCUUAAGUUCAAGUUGUAACUAUGACUAAAAUGACACAUAAAGGGAAAGUGAUUAGUACAGAGUGUCUUUCCUGUGUCUAAAUAUAUUGAAAAACGAUUUGAGGCAUUAGUCAUUGGUGUCUUAUAACAUUAAGAGACAUAGAUAUGGGUCACUGUUUUCAAGAAUAGCACCUCUAGUUUUUUUUUUCAACCAAUGUGUUUCUUCUCACAGGCCACCUAUCUCAUAGAUACAGCCUAUAUUUCAGAGACAUUGUGUAAUAGAAUUUAUGUGCAAAAUCUAAAUGCAAUAUUUAAAUGAUAAAUAAAUAAAUAAUAAUACACAUUAAUAUAUUAUCUGUAUAUACCCAC
rnacentral:lncRNA from 1 species